CAUCCCCCUGUCUUUGGUUGAUUCACUCAUUCAGCAGACACUUGUUCGGCCCAAACUCUGUGCCAUUGUGUAAGGUGUUAAAGAGUCCAGAGUGAAAAGACAGUCUCUGCCCUGAAGGAGCUCAAUAGAUUUGUGGAAGGGAUAGGCAAGCUAAGAAAUAAUUAUCGACUGUGAAGUAAGUGCUUAUAGAGGGAUAUGGCUAAUGCCAGUUCUGACUGCAUGGAGGGAGGUAACAAAAAAGAAAAAACAAAGCAAAAAAACAGAACAACCAGGGAAAAAUCUGAGCAAAGCCUUUUGCUUUGUUUCCAUCUUUAAGCAUGCAUUUCAAAUUUCUCUUGUAUUGAUUGGUUAGGUCUCUUUUGGUUGUAAGAAGACCCAAUUCAAACUGCCUUAAGCCAAGCUGGGAUUUAAUUGGCUUAGAUGAGACCAAAAGAAUCUAAAAGAGUAGGGCUGCAGGCUGGGCUGGAUCCAGAGCUUCCACUCUUUUGACAGGGCCGUGUCUACACAGGGGCACUCCAUGCUCACUUCCACUCCAUUCCAGUCCCAGAGGGAGAGAGCAUCCUUUUCUCCCAAAGACUGUCGCUAAAGUCUCAAGAUCAACUGUGAGUGCUUCUGAUUGGGUCACAUGGUUUUCCCUGGAAAUGGGUAUGGAGUCAACCCCAUCUAAAGCACAGGGACUGAGAGUUGGGGAGCCCUGACUCCCCAAGGGAAACAGGGCUGCUGGUCAGGAAAUAAGAAACGUCGUGUCCUGUCUUUCACAGUCUUGCUAAAAAGCAAGAUAAUUUUGUUUUUUGAAAAUCCUAGGUGCUGAUAAUCCAGAGGAGGCAGGUGGUGAUUGAGGAACGUGUACACAGGAUGAGGCGCUUGAGGAAAGUGAAUUAUGAGGUCAAAGAGUCCAGGAGGAAAGGAAUCCGGAGGACUAACCAGAAGAGUUAUUACCUAAGUGAGGCUCUGGGAGGGAGUGUCUCACUGGGUGUGGGUUUCUGCCUUGACUGAAGUACUCCCUGGAGGUUCAAAUGCUUUCCCAGAUAGUUCUCUUGAGAUAAGCCGAGAUUACAAAUGCCAGUGCCUCCAGGGGCCAUGCUAGUAAAAUAAAUGAAUGACUUAGACCAGGUAAGGGCUGGGGGGUACCCCGGUCCCACCCCCCAUGGUGAUUGUCUUACCAAAGGGGCCUGUGGGACUCUGGGCCCAGAGUGACUCAGUCCUUGCUGUUUUCAAGAAAAACCUGAAGUCUGGAUUUUAAUGAAACUUCAAUGGCAUUUAAUGCACAUUAAACAAUGACACUAUGCGGGGCUCAACAAAAUUGAUGAGUGGCCAGAUCUGGCCUCUGGGUCACCAGCUGGCAGCUGUAGCUCUGAUUCGACCACUAGCCAGGGAUCCUCCAUAUGCCGUGGGUGCGGCCCUAGACAGACAAACCAACAACAACAACAAACAAUCUUUUGGGUUGCAGACUUAGCUCAGAUCCUGCGUGGCUGUGACUCUGGUGUAGGCCAGUGAGUACAGCUCCGAUUCGACACCUAACCUGGGAACCUCUAUAUGCCACGGGAGUGGCCCUAGAAAAGACAAAAAAAAAAAAAAAAAAAG
ensembl:lncRNA